GUCUCAGACAUUUUGGAAGGAGAGACGACAAGACUCCUGUGUCACGAGGCUGAGUUCUAGCCCAGCACUAUCAUUAACUCAUGAUGGCGACUUGAGCAGGUUUUUCUCAAGACCUUCGAGAGACCAGUGCAACCAGAAGUUGGAUGACAGGAAUUAAGCGUUUACACAUUAAUUUAUUCAAAUAUUUGCUGAGCAACUGUAGACACUCUUCUAGAAUGGAGGCAAGGUUUCUGCUCUCAAGGGAUCCUACACCCAUGAAGGGUGACCCAAGAAGAGAAUGGCUAAAGGAAACGUGAUUCGGGGCGAAAGGAAAUUCCACUGUCAAACCCUACUCUGUUUUCUCUCAAUCCUGCUUGAAGGCAAGCCCCAUGUCUUGGAAAGACACAGAAGAAACAUGUCCAGACACUGGCGAAGUGUGCAGCCUGAGGUGUCGGCAUACGGCACAAGAAACAGCACCACCAGUGAAGACUUCCUUCAAAGUAGUGUGGUUCGCCGGUAGAGUUUUUCGCCCUGUUGGUUGGGACUUCUCUAGUUGGCUCCCCAUACCAGAGCGCCUCUGUGGCCUGGGCUCCAUAGUUGUCAACUUUCGAGCUGCAGAAUCUGAGCAAUCCCUAACUUUAUAGAUGAGGGAACUGUACCCCAGGUCACACAGCCCCUCAUUUACAAUGCCCAAAUUGAGGUUCUCAGACUCUCAAGUCAGAUGUCCUUCUACAGUAUCUCCAAGAAAGCAGCUACCAUCGGAAGCCCCUUUCCGGUAGCAUCUGAAGUAAGCAGAUGGGGGGAGGAUGAUCAACGCAGACGAGAAAGUCCUACGGGAGGGGUCUAGCUGAGCUAGAGGAACCACGGCACUUCCCAGUCUCCCCUCCCUCAGAAAGUAAUCAUGACACACUCCCACCCUGCCAGGACUCUUCCUGUUUGCAGCCAUGAAUCAAGCAUGAAAGCUUGCCUUCCCAUGAUCCUCGGCUCCCUGCUGACUGAGGCAGGUUCCAACUGAUAAGUCUCACACUAGUGAGCUGUCCGUCAGUGUGGGAAUUUAGUUGAGCCAGAUGGCAGAUUGCAGGCUGCAAAAUCCAGCCCUCACUUAGGCUAAACCAAUGGGGCUCUUAACAAAUUGGCUGGUCUCUCUAUGCGCUCCUGGGAGUAACAGAGGGGAGGCCUCACAGAUGCAGAAUUCUCUGCAGGUGCUCAUGACGCUCCUGAGCUCGCCAGAGGAGAAGCAAACCCAGGAAGAAGGGGUCGAAAGCCAGAGAGGAGGAAUUGGGGGCAGCUAUGAUUCUGCUUGCUUACCCAGACCCUGGAGAGGAGAAAAUGGCGACAGCCAGGCACAUCCCUCCAUCUAGGUCUCAAACAAGCUUAGCCUUUGUGGCUGAGAUAAAGAUGGUGCAGCAACCAGGACUGUCCUGAAAGACGGAGUGAAAGGCGUGGCACGCGAAGGGAAGGGUGGGCCAAGGGGGGGACUUGCAGGGCUCCAGACAGCUGGGAAAUGAGAAGCAUUCAUUGCAUUUGGCAACUGCGUGGUCACUGGUGCCUCUUACGAAAAUCAACAAAAGACCGGAGAUGAAGAAGAAUCAAAGAAAAAUAUUCUUUUUGUUGUUCGUGUUUUGAGACAGGGUCUCACUGUGUAGCUCUGGCUGGCCUGGCACUCACUCUGUAGAGCAGGCUGAACUCCCAGACAUCCUCGGGUCUCUGCCUCCCAAGUGCUGGGAUUAAAGAUGUAUGUCACCGUGUCCAGCCAAACAGUUUAUUUUAAAAAUAGAAAUGAUGGCUAGGGAAAGUGGUCUAUGACACAGAUGUGACAUUCUUGUCUUAAUCUUGAAAUAACUUUGGUAGGCUGUGCAGAGGGAAGCCAAGGAGAGCCUGCAGAGCCCAGAGGGAAAAAGGCAGAGCCUUGGAGGACAUAUGGGGCUCAGAGAACACAGAACUAGAAGUACAAGGGAGGAAGUGAGACGGGGCACAGGCACCGGUCAACAAGAAGAAAAGCGGCGGGCAGAAGCCCUCGCCUCGGGAGCUCUCUUCAAGGGAGCGGAUGGGAAGUCCAGUCAUUGGCUGACAGCAAAGAUGAAGGGUGUGCAUCAGAAAGAAGAGUAAUACAAGUUCAAGGGUUCCCAAUCAAUACUGAGGAUGUGGUUCUGAGUCCGCCAUGCUUAGAAGUCAAAAAGGAAGAGAAAGCAGGCUGACGUGAAAAAUGGAGACCGUAGAAGAGUUAGUAAAGUCCAAGAUGCUGAUAGGAACCUAUGUGAUGGGCCCUGGGUUCACGCUGGGAAGAGGAGGAAAUCCUGGAGGAGCAAAGUCUGGGAGAAGGGAGAGGGACACAGUCAUGGGGGACACAGUGCACAGCAGUGAGUGGGGCUGGAGAGGAGGAGGCCCCGAAGCGAAGACUCAGCUCAGAAGUUUAAUAGUGACCAGGGUGGUAAAAGUGGGAACAGAGCAGAGACAGCUACAAAGAGGGGCCGGCAUAUUAAGAGGCAUACAAAGACCUGUGGCAAAACUAGGGACAGGAAGCCAACGCUCACUGCAUUUCCAACAAUGUCACCCAUGAAGCGAUGUCCAAGGAGGGCCUGGUGGCCGCCGUUCAGCAAGGUCCCUACAGCAGGCAGGUACCCGUUACUGAAUCCAGGAGGAUCAACCUGCCAUACUCUGUGAAAGGUUGCUUUUCAAGUCCCUCCUGUACCAACGUUUGCACUAAAAUCCCCGUGCAUCCACUGAAGUCAUCCUACUACUGCGUCUCUCAGCACAGCCAGGAAGAAGACUCUUGUCUUCUAGGGCGGCA